rnacentral:pre_miRNA from 1 species
UGAUGUCAUCAGUGACGUCACUGAUGACGUCAUCAGUGUCGACGUCGAUGCCGAUUCUGAUGACGUCAUCAGUGACGUCACUGAUGACGUCAU